rnacentral:rRNA from 1 species
GAUGAACGCUAGCUACAGGCUUAACACAUGCAAGUCGAGGGGAAACGGCAUCGAAAGCUUGCUUUUGAUGGGCGUCGACCGGCGCACGGGUGAGUAACGCGUAUCCAACCUGCCCAUCACUUGGGAAUAACCUUGCGAAAGUAAGACUAAUGCCCAAUGACAUCCCACGAAGGCAUCCGAAUGGGAUUAAAGAUUUAUCGGUGAUGGAUGGGGAUGCGUCUGAUUAGCUUGUUGGCGGGGUGACGGCCCACCAAGGCAACGAUCAGUAGGGGUUCUGAGAGGAAGGUCCCCCACAUUGGAACUGAGACACGGUCCAAACUCCUACGGGAGGCAGCAGUGAGGAAUAAUGGUCAAUGGGCGAGAGCCUGAACCAGCCAAGUAGCGUGCAGGAUGACGGCCCUAUGGGUUGUAAACUGCUUUUAUAAGGGAAUAAAGUGGGUCACGUGUGACUUUUUGCAUGUACCUUAUGAAUAAGGACCGGCUAAUUCCGUG